rnacentral:rRNA from 1 species
AGCGAACGCUGGCGGCAGGCUUAACACAUGCAAGUCGAACGCCCCGCAAGGGGAGUGGCAGACGGGUGAGUAACACGUGGGAACGUACCCUUUGGUUCGGAAUAACUUGGGGAAACCCAAGCUAAUACCGGAUAAGCUCUUAUGGGGAAAGGUUUACUGCCGAAGGAUCGGCCGGCGUCUGAUUAGCCAGUGGGUGAGGUAAUGGCUCACCAAGGCGACGAUCAGUAGCUGGUCUGAGAGGAUGAUCAGCCACACUGGGACUGAGACACGGCCCAGACUCCUACGGGAGGCAGCAGUGGGGAAUAUUGGACAAUGGGGGCAACCCUGAUCCAGCCAUGCCGCGUGAGUGAUGAAGGCCUUAGGGUUGUAAAGCUCUUUUACCCGGGACGAUAAUGACUGUACCGGGAGAAUAAGCCCCGGCUAACUUCGUGCCAGCCGCCGCCGUAA